rnacentral:rRNA from 1 species
UACAGAGGGGCAAGCGUUGUUCGGAUUUACUGGGCGUAAAGGGCGCGUAGGCGGCCACCGCAAGUCGACUGUGAAAUCUCCGGGCUUAACCCGGAAAGGUCAGCCGAUACUGCGGGCUAGAGUGCAGAAGGGGCAACUGGAAUUCUCGGUGUAGCGGUGAAAUGCGUAGAUAUCGAGAGGAACACCUGCGGCGAAGGCGGGUUGCUGGGCUGACACUGACGCUGAGGCGCGAAAGCGUGGGGAGCGAACAGG